GAUGAACGCUGGCGGCGUGCCUAAUACAUGCAAGUCGAGCGAACAGACGAUGAGCUUGCUCCUCUGACGUUAGCGGCGGACGGGUGAGUAACACGUGGAUAACCUACCUAUAAGACUGGGAUAACUUCGGGAAACCGGAGCUAAUACCGGAUAAUAUAUUGAACCGCAUGGUUCAAUAGUGAAAGACGGUUUUGCUGUCACUUAUAGAUGGAUCCGCGCCGCAUUAGCUAGUUGGUAAGGUAACGGCUUACCAAGGCAACGAUGCGUAGCCGACCUGAGAGAGUGAUAGGCCACACUGGAACGGAGACACGGUCCAGACUCCUACGGGAGGCAGCAGUAGGGAAUCUUCCGCAAUGGGCGAAAGCCUGACGGAGCAACGCCGCGUGAGUGAUGAAGGUCUUCGGAUCGUAAAACUCUGUUAUUAGGGAAGAACAAAUGUGUAAGUAACUAUGCACGUCUUGACGGUACCUAAUCAGAAAGCCACGGCUAACUACGUG
rnacentral:rRNA from 1 species